GAAAGAUGUCACUGGUCCACUCUCAAGGAUAUUUGCAGUUUAAUAGACUUCUCUUGGUUGCAGAAGGAGUAAUAGCGAUAGUGACAGUGGUAGUAAUAGUAGUGGUAAUAUUAUAGGUCAUAUUUAUUUUGAAUUUCCAUGUCAGAAAUAGUUCUCUCAAUCCUGCCAACUACAGCCCUAUGAAAUACUUGCUAUUAUUAUUCCUAUUUUACAGAUGAGGAACCUGUUGAACAGAAAAGUCUCUGACCAUAAUCAAGGUCACACAGUCAGAAGGCAUCCCAGCAGACACUCCACACUAGCCAAUGUGGAUUCAGAGACUGCACCCUUGAUUACUGUGUUGUUUCAUGAUACUAGUGCACCUUCAUGAAUCAGAACUUUCCAUAUAUGGAGGUUAUUCAGCAUGUCCUUUGUGAGUAAUGGUUACAGGUAUAAGGUGCAUACAGGUAGAUGUGAAGAAGGCAGUGGAGGAUAACAGGAAAAUGGAAGAGAAUGAGGAAAUGUAUGGUCCUGUGGAAGAAACACUGGAAUUAAGGCAUCAAUUGCGGGCAAGGCUGAAUCCAGGUUUUGGGGGCCUGAAGCUUAAUCGAUGUGGAGGACCUCUUUGAGGAAAAGCAUGCAAAAUUACAAAUACAAAAUUAGGUAUGAAAGUGGAAUUUCAUGUAGAAUGAGAGAACAAAUUAAAAUAAAUCACGUCCCUUUUUCUUG
ensembl:lincRNA